rnacentral:rRNA from 1 species
CCUACGGGUGGCUGCAGUGGGGGAUAUUGCACAAUGGGGGGAACCCUGAUGCAGCGACGCCGCGUGGGUGAAGAAGCGCCUCGGCGCGUAAAGCCCUGUCAGCAGGGAAGCAAAUGACGGUACCUGAAGAAGAAGCCCCGGCUAACUACGUGCCAGCAGCCGAGGUUAUACGGAGGGGGCAAGCGUUAUCCGGAUUUCCUGGGGGUAAAGGGGGCGCAGACGGCGCUGCAAGUCAGGAGUGAAAGCCCGGGGCCCAACCCCGGGACCGCUCUUGGAACUGCGUGGCUGGAGUGCAGGAGGGGCAGGCGGAAUGCCUGGUGUAGCGGUGAAAUGCGUAGAUAUCAGGAGGAACACCGGUGGCGAAGGUGGCCUGCUGGACUGCAACUGACGUUGAGGCCCGAAAGCGUGGGGAGCAAACAGGAUUAGAUACCCUUGUAGUC